AUGAAAGGAAGCCUUUGUUUUGUUUUAACUGAAGGUACGUGGGCAUGGGAUGGCUUAUCCCAGGAGUUAAUAGCAAAAGGGUUUAGGCCAAUUCUUCAAGGAAAUAGAAGCACUUAGUUUCCUAAACCCCUCCCACCUUUCAGGACCAAAGUUGAAAACCAGAGAAUGUUGUGUUGGUAGGCCACUCCCCACUGCCCCACAGAACACCCAGAGAAAUCAGUGCUGGAUAGCACAAAAAGAGCCCAGCUACAAUGGUUGGUCUUCAAAGGGGUUCAUUUAUUAUAUUGCUCAGUGCCCCACAGAGUUGCUCCAAGCUCAUAACUGCCACUGAUUUCAAAGAGAGCUCUGAACUUGCAUACGCUCCACAAGGCACAGCGCAGGAUGAGAAAUAGGCUGAGUGGCUUUAAGCCAUGUUCAGACAUUUUUUAAUGUUCAUAAAUGUCUUUGGCACCAUCACUUUCACAUAGAAACCCACUUACCUCCUACUGCAAAGUGUGAAAUAAAGCCAUUUUCAAGCCUGGGUAGGGGAUGGUCUGCAAAUUGGGCUAAAUCUUAAAACUGCAUGAAGACUGAAAAUAGGAUUCACAAGCUAGAGCUCAGCUCUAACCAAACUGUUUCCAAGGUCGGGUCACUGUGACACUCUGCUCUGUUAGAUACCAUCAGUUCUAUCCUGCAAGGGUUAACACAGUGAACCGUGGUCACCUCAGUAGCUUCCAAAUGACCCUGGAGUUAAACUAAAGGCCCAUAGCUCUAAGGCAUCAAAAACAGGUGGUCUACUGAAGGAGGGAAGCACUGUCUCAAUUGAGGCUUGAUUGGGAUUCACCUGACACAGCCCUGGGAAACCUUGAGUUAGGGACUGGCAUUUUUUACCACACUUCUCUGCCUUUGGAGAUGCGAAGUUUAUUCAGGGUGUUCAUGGGAGAUAAGGACCCAUCAGAGGUGCUCUCUCUCCCUGAAUGCCUGCAGAAAGAUUAGCCAUCUUCCCCAAUUUUAUUCCCGUAGUUGCCUGGUCACCAAGACAAGAGAAAGAGAGAUCCCUUAGACACUCAGCAGUCACUUUGUCUACUCCAGGAAGCUCUCUGAUGUGGAAGUCGAGAUUCAAAGAUGACACAGGUAGCAAUGCUGGGCAUCAAGCUAAAGUGUCAUACCGCGCUGGCCUCUUCCUAAAACUGCUGCUUGAACAUUGCCUGCAAUGUGGAACUCACUGCCUCAAGGGCAAACAAUUUCGUCUUUAAUGUGUAGAAAGUGUUACCACUAGACUGUCCAUCAGGCAUCUCAAAUUUAACAUGUCCAAUACUUAAUUCAUAAAGUUGUUUCAUAAUUUUGUUUAUAGUCAAUUGAGGAGCGGGGCUUACCAGAGAAGAGCGGGCACUAAUGAGGAUAACAUUAUUCCAUCAAUAAUUAACCACAGAUGAUAUGUUAAGCAUUCAUUUUUAUUUUAUUACUAAGGCCAAAGAAAGAGGUCAGUAAAAACUGUUACCUUAUCUCCUUGGGAUUUUCCAAGAUCACCUUGUUAGAGCUUAAUGCUCCAUU
rnacentral:lncRNA from 1 species